GAGCUCUUUCUGAGAUGAAGAGAACUCUCAAUGUCAAGAUUUCAACAAGAAGAGAAUGGAAUACACGAUACGGACAUCCAUAAAAAUUCUUCAGAGGGUGUUUUACUACUGAGCUGCAAAGGGAAAAACUUAAAAUGGAUAUGAAAAGUGAAGAAAGUGAUCAUAGGAGAAAACCAUUUCAGAUGACAAGAGCACCUCAAAGGCAGCAGCCUCAAGAAGCAGCCAUGGCCCCAGAGUUGUCCCACGGAUGCAGAAAACUUAAUGGAGGAGGCUGAGGUCAGAAUGGGAAGAGUUUUUAAAAAGUAAAAAGGGGAGCUAAUAUGUGAGGAACUGAUUGCUGUGCAUUAUUUUCCGCUGAACAGACCACAGACCUUCUUUUAACUUCUAAUCUCAAGCACAUAGCAGCUGUUGUUUUCAU
rnacentral:lncRNA from 1 species